AAUAAACCCUCCCCUUUUGCCCCCUUCUCUCUCUUCCAUUCUCUUGAAAACCCUAACACCACCUUGACUUUCCAUUGCCUCUCUCCGCCAAAAAUGGCAUGUUUAUUGAGCAUGGCUGACAUACACAGCUAUUACAUGCUUAUUGUGGUGAAAGCAUUAAUUGUUACACCUGAUUUCGUGUUUUUUGUACCCGAAUAUGGUUGCAAGCACAAAGUUCCCAAGUUCGUUCUCUUCUUGGCUGAACACACAAAAGGUACACCCAAAUGAGCUGAAGCUAUUAUACAAGAUGUUCCACUGGAGUUGGCAGGCUCCACCUGUUCCUGGAGUGCUGCCGAGUCAGAGUAUAUGUGCUAUGAUGUUUGUUCGAAGUUAGAGACUUUGCAGACAGAGUCGUGGGUAUAGUAUAUCAGUUUUGUAAGCGGCUCUAUCAGCCGAUAUGUCAUUCUGUAUUAUGUGUUAAACUCUAUAUGAUUACAGAUUUUGUCUGAUUUGAAAACAUCGAUAAAAGAAAGAU